rnacentral:rRNA from 1 species
CAUUACAGUAGGGGGCUCUGCCCCUUGAAGAAGAUACCCUUGAUUUUUGAGUACCUCUGUUUCCUCGGCGAGUUCGCUCGCCAAUGGGGACCCCUCAAAACCUUUUUGUAAUAGCAGUUUUUUCUGAAAAACAAAGCAAAAGUUAAAACUUUCAACAACGGAUCUCUUGGUUCUGGCAUCGAUGAAGAACGCAGCGAAAUGCGAUAAGUAGUGUGAAUUGCAGAAUUCAGUGAAUCAUCGAAUCUUUGAACGCACAUUGCGCCCUUUGGUAUUCCUUAGGGCAUGCCUGUUCGAGCGUCAUUUAAACCCUCAAGCACAGCUUGGUGUUGGGCGUCUGCUUCCCCCUGGGGAGGCUCGCCUCAAAUGCAUUGGCAGCCGGUACGUUGGCUUCGAGCGCAGCAGAAAAGCGCCUGGCGUCUGACGGUAGCGGCUCUCCAGCAAGUCCACCCCAA